AUUUAUAUAGUUUAAACAAAACAUAUCAUUUUCAAUGAUAAAAUGUAUAAGUUACUAUAAAUA
rnacentral:tRNA from 1 species